rnacentral:rRNA from 1 species
AGCGAACGCUGGCGGCAGGCUUAACACAUGCAAGUCGAGCGGGCACUUCGGUGUCAGCGGCAGACGGGUGAGUAACACGUGGGAACGUACCCUUCGGUUCGGAAUAACGCUGGGAAACUAGCGCUAAUACCGGAUACGCCCUUUCGGGGAAAGGUUUACUGCCGAAGGAUCGGCCCGCGUCUGAUUAGCUAGUUGGUGGGGUAAUGGCCUACCAAGGCGACGAUCAGUAGCUGGUCUGAGAGGAUGAUCAGCCACACUGGGACUGAGACACGGCCCAGACUCCUACGGGAGGCAGCAGUGGGGAAUAUUGGACAAUGGGCGCAAGCCUGAUCCAGCCAUGCCGCGUGAGUGAUGAAGGCCUUAGGGUUGUAAAGCUCUUUUGUCCGGGACGAUAAUGACGGUACCGGAAGAAUAAGCCCCGGCUAACUUCGUG